UACGGAGGGGACUAGCGUUGUUCGGAAUUACUGGGCGUAAAGCGCACGUAGGCGGAUUUGUAAGUCAGGGGUGAAAUCCCGGGGCUCAACCUCGGAACUGCCUUUGAUACUGCAAAUCUCGAGUCCGGAAGAGGUGAGUGGAAUUCCUGGUGUAGCGGUGGAAUGCGCAGAUAUCAGGAGGAACACCUAAGGCGAAGGCAGCUCGCUGGAACGGUACUGACGCUGAGGCGCGAAAGCGUGGGGAGCAAACAGG
rnacentral:rRNA from 1 species